rfam:Vibrio sp. CECT 9027 strain CECT 9027T genome assembly, contig: 0002
GUUCACCGCCGUACAGGCGGCUUAGAAA